rnacentral:rRNA from 1 species
UACGUAGGGAGCAAGCGUUGUCCGGAAUCGUUGGGCGUAAAGCGCGCGUAGGUGGCCCUGUAAGUCCGCUCUGAAAGUCGAAGGCUCAACCUUCGAAAGCGGGUGGAUACUGCAGGGCUAGAGUCCGGAAGAGGCGAGUGGAAUUCCUGGUGUAGCGGUGGAAUGCGCAGAUAUCAGGAGGAACACCAACGGCGAAGGCAGCUCGCUGGGACGGUACUGACACUGAGGCGCGAAAGCGUGGGGAGCAAACGGG